rnacentral:rRNA from 1 species
GGAGGCAGCAGUGGGGAAUAUUGCACAAUGGGCGCAAGCCUGAUGCAGCCAUGCCGCGUGUAUGAAGAAGGCCUUCGGGUUGUAAAGUACUUUCAGCGGGGAGGAAGGCGAUAAGGUUAAUAACCUUGUCGAUUGACGUUACCCGCAGAAGAAGCACCGGCUAACUCCGUGCCAGCAGCCGCGGUAAUACGGAGGGUGCAAGCGUUAAUCGGAAUUACUGGGCGUAAAGCGCACGCAGGCGGUCUGUCAAGUCGGAUGUGAAAUCCCCGGGCUCAACCUGGGAACUGCAUUCGAAACUGGCAGGCUAGAGUCUUGUAGAGGGGGGUAGAAUUCCAGGUGUAGCGGUGAAAUGCGUAGAGAUCUGGAGGAAUACCGGUGGCGAAGGCGGCCCCCUGGACAAAGACUGACGCUCAGGUGCGAAAGCGUUGGACCAAAACA